GAUGAACGCUGGCGGCGUGCCUAAUACAUGCAAGUCGAGCGAAUGGAUUAAGAGCUUGCUCUUAUGAAGUUAGCGGCGGACGGGUGAGUAACACGUGGGUAACCUGCCCAUAAGACUGGGAUAACUCCGGGAAACCGGGGCUAAUACCGGAUAACAUUUUGAACCGCAUGGUUCGAAAUUGAAAGGCCGCUUCGGCUGUCACUUAUGGAUGGACCCGCGUCGCAUUAGCUAGUUGGUGAGGUAACGGCUCACCAAGGCAACGAUGCGUAGCCGGCCUGGCAGGGUGGUCGGCCACACUGGGACUGAGACACGGCCCAGACUCCUACGGGAGGCAGCAGUAGGGAAUCUUCCGCGAUGGACGAAAGUCUGACGGAGCAACGCCGCGUGAGUGAUGAAGGCUUUCGGGUCGUAAAACUCUGUUGUUAGGGAAGAACAAGUGCUAGUUGAAUAAGCUGGCACCUUGACGGUACCUAACCAGAAAGCCACGGCUAACUACGUGCCAGCAGCCGCGGUAA
rnacentral:rRNA from 1 species